GCAGAGGGCCAGGAGCAGCAGGGCCGCGGCGAGGGCCAGGCCCGGGAGGCCCAACCACUCCAGCGAGAAGCGGCCCAUGGCCGCUGACACUUCUCCUGCCAUCCGGCGCGCGCUAGGCCGCGGUGGGCAGCCCGGGGUCUCCCUGCGAGCAGCGCGGUCUGCGACUCUGCAGCCUGCGGCGGCUUCUCUCGGCGGCGCCCCCUAGUCCAGGGCCGGAGAGGCUGGCCUGCCGGCAGAGCAGACAGGAAUGUCACCGCGGUCUCCCAGGCUGUGACAAAAGUUCGUGGACUGCCCCCUCCCCGCCUAUCCUCCACCCACGCGUACCGCCCCAUUCCCCUACCGUUUCCGACCCGGCAGCUUCUGGAAAACAGCGCCCUUGAUCCUCCAGGGCAGGAAGAAGGGCCAAGGAAGGGGUUAGAAGGGGGAAAGAGUUAGGAUUUCCCAAGAACCAGCCCUGAAGGCCUGGAGGAGGGGGAUUUCGCUUCUUAGUUGGACAGGAGCCCCUUGGGUUCCUUACUUCUUAGCCCGCGCCCUGCGGGAGGAGCGAUUCUGCUUGUCCCUCAAGAUGCUUGGGAAGGUGCCGGCUGCGCUCUGACACCGGCGAUCUCUUAGAUACAACCCAGCGGCGUUGGCCUGGCGGCAGAAACCGGCUGAAUGAGCGACCUCGAAACCGUUUCGCGCCCACCUCCUUCACCCCCUUAACAUUCCUAUUUGCUCACAAGUUUUGGUUGAGGCCUACGGAGUGCAGAGGCGCGUGCCAGAGACACGGAAUACAAAGACCUAAGCUGUAAGCCUUCAGAAGUCCCGAUGAGGCACACAGUACAGGAAGACGGUGAGACAGAAUGAAGACCACCCCUGGACAAAAUUACAAAGAAGUGGAAGGAAAGAAGAGAAAGAAGAAGAAAGGAAUAUAGGCUACAUGUUUUACACACAUUGUUUCACCUAAUCUUCAAAACCAGUCUCUGAUGUAGAUAUUAUUAUCCCUUUUUACAUAAAAGAAACCAAGAUUCAAAAGAAUUCCAGGACACCCAUGGUUAUUCAGCUCUUAUGUCCAACUGUGAAGUCACCCAUCGUUUUCACCUUGUCACCUUGCCCUCCUUAGAGUUUUCUUUCACUAACCCUUUACUUACCUGCUCAGUCAUUCUUGCUUCAAUCUUUAUGGAUCCAGUUGUUACCUUAAGUUGUCCAUAACUGCUCCCUUUGGAGACAAUUGAACUCUGCCAUGACCUUGGCCCUCCAUGGCCCUUGUCUAGCUCUGAGGCUGGUCUCAAGUUUUCCAUCUGAAAAAAUGAUAUAAGACUACCUUCCCUAUAGGAUUAUGAGGAUUAAAUUGUUAGGAGUAAAUAUAUAUAUAUAAAACAAUGAAAA